rnacentral:rRNA from 1 species
UGCAAGCAGUAACGCUAAUACAGAGGGGGUGGACGAUGUUCGAAAUACUGGUUAUAAAGCACUCGUAGGCGGAUUGAACAGUUGGGGGUAAAAUCCCAGGGCUCAACCCUGGAACGGCCUCAAAAACUCCAAGUCUACAGUUCGAGAGAGGUGAGUGUUAUUCCGAGUGUAGAGGUGAAAUUCGUGUAUAUUCGGAAGAACACCAUUGGCGAAGGCGGCUCACUGGCACGAUACUGACAA